UACGAAGGGGGCUAGCGUUGCUCGGAAUUACUGGGCGUAAAGGGCGCGUAGGCGGCACUGUUAGUCAGGCGUGAAAGUCCUGGGCUCAACCUGGGAACUGCGCUUGAUACGGCAGAGCUAGAGGAUGGAAGAGGGUCGCGGAAUUCCCAGUGUAGAGGUGAAAUUCGUAGAUAUUGGGAAGAACACCGGUGGCGAAGGCGGCGACCUGGGUCGAGACUGACGCUGAGGCGCGAAAGCGUGGGGAGCAAACAGG
rnacentral:rRNA from 1 species